rnacentral:misc_RNA from 1 species
GCCGGCGAGGAAGGCUGCGCCGCAGAUCGCGACGAUGCGGCAGAGCUGGAAGCCAGCAGCGGUCAUGGGCGAUUCGCGUCGCGCUGGCGCGGGGUGGCCGGCGAUGG